GCCAUACCGCGUGGGUGAAGAAGGCCUAUCGGGUUGUAAAGCCCUUUUGUUGGGAAAGAAAUCCAGCCGGCUAAUACCUGGUUGGGAUGACGGUACCCAAAGAAUAAGCACCGGCUAACUUCGUGCCAGCAGCCGCGGUAAUACGAAGGGUGCAAGCGUUACUCGGAAUUACUGGGCGUAAAGCGUGCGUAGGUGGUUGUUUAAGUCUGUUGUGAAAGCCCUGGGCUCAACCUGGGAACUGCAGUGGAAACUGGACGACUAGAGUGUGGUAGAGGGUAGCGGAAUUCCUGGUGUAGCAGUGAAAUGCGUAGAGAUCAGGAGGAACAUCCAUGGCGAAGGCAGCUACCUGGACCAACACUGACACUGAGGCACGAAAGCGUGGGGAGCAAACAGGAUUAGAUACCCUGGUAGUCCACGCCCUAAACGAUGCGAACUGGAUGUUGGGUGCAAUUUGGCACGCAGUAUCGAAGCUAACGCGUUAAGUUCGCCGCCUGGGGAGUACGGUCGCAAGACUGAAACUCAAAGGAAUUGACGGGGGCCCGCACAAGCGGUGGAGUAUGUGGUUUAAUUCGAUGCAACGCGAAGAACCUUACCUGGCCUUGACAUGUCGAGAACUUUCCAGA
rnacentral:rRNA from 1 species